AUUGAACGCUGGCGGCAUGCUUUACACAUGCAAGUCGAACGGUAACAGGGUGCUUGCACCGCUGACGAGUGGCGAACGGGUGAGUAAUGCGUCGGAACGUGCCGAGUAGUGGGGGAUAACGCAGCGAAAGUUGUGCUAAUACCGCAUACGUACUGAGGUAGAAAGUGGGGGACCUUCGGGCCUCACGCUAUUCGAGCGGCCGACGUCUGAUUAGCUAGUAGGUGAGGUAAAGGCUCACCUAGGCGACGAUCAGUAGCGGGUCUGAGAGGAUGAUCCGCCACACUGGGACUGAGACACGGCCCAGACUCCUACGGGAGGCAGCAGUGGGGAAUUUUGGACAAUGGGCGAAAGCCUGAUUCAGCCAUGCCGCGUGUCUGAAGAAGGCCUUCGGGUUGUAAAGGACUUUUGUCGGGGAGGAAAUCCCCGGCGCUAAUACCGCUGGGGGAUGACAGUACCUGAAGAAUAAGCACCGGCUAACUACGUGCCAGCAGCCGCGGUAAAAC
rnacentral:rRNA from 1 species